rnacentral:rRNA from 1 species
AUUGAACGCUGGCGGCAGGCCUAACACAUGCAAGUCGAGCGCGCGGCGGACGGGUGAGUAAUGUAUGGGGACUGCCCGUUAGAGGGGGAGAACUAACCGGAACGGUAGAUAAUACCGCGUAUUAUCGGAUAACCCAUAUGGGAUUAGCUGGUAGGUGAGGUAAUGGCUCACCUAGGCGACGCUCCCUAGCUGGUCUGAGAGGAUGAUCAGCCAAACUGGGACUGAGACCCGGCCCAGACUCCUACGGAGGCAGCAGUGGGGAAUAUUGCACAAUGGGCGCAAGCCGGAUGCAGCCAUGCCGCGUGUAUGAAGAAGGCCCUAGGGUUGUAAAGUACUUUCAGUCGGGGGGCGUUACCGGCAGAAGAAGCACCGGCUAACUCCGUGCCAGCAGCCGCGGUAAUUC